rnacentral:lncRNA from 8 species
AUGGUGUACCUUUAUUUUGUAUCUCUCAACACCCCUACCCCACUCUCUCUCACUCACUCACUCACUCACUCACUCACUCACUCACUCACUCACUCACUCACUCACUCACUCACUCACUCACUCACUCACUCACUCACUCACUCACUCACUCACUCACUCACUCACUCACAUUUACCCAAUAAGACAUCUCUUGCAUCCCUCUCAAAUCACCACCAGUAUUCCUUUUUCUUUCAGAUAAAAAAAAAACACUCCCCACUGAGAGACAACGGAACGAUUUCCUAUCGGUUCCCAAGAUCCAAACGACGUAAUGUGACGUUUCAUCCAUGUCAUAAGGAGUGAAACUUUUGGAGGGGGAGUUAACCAGGCUGUGAAGCUAACACCUGCAUCAGUAUCAGUAACCAUGGAGAUGAUGACUUCCACAAUGAAUUAUCUUCUAUCCAUCGAUAUUAAGGUAUCUCAUGCAAACACUCAUCACUGGCUAGUUAUUUGCAUGAAGCUGACGAAUCACUGCACCUUAUAUGAAACACUUACGUCUCCUGAAUGUUUUCCAAUUCAGAAAACAUGACAGACAUGUUUGGUUAUGAAAUAUAAUUGUGUGCUUAUGGAUUGUUGGUUUGUUACAUGUGAUGCCUUGUCCUACAUACUGGAGUGCAUUGAUGGCUGUGUCUCUCAGCUCACUGAUCUAAUUCAGAUCAGUGGUCUGUCUCCCUGCAUGACUUGUGGCUUCAAGUGGCCCAUAUUGACACUUUGGGGGCACAAAUCAAUACAAUAUUCUCAAACAUCCUCCUGUAUCUAGUGUGUACGUAAAACCUAAGGACUGCAACAGACUCCACAGAGCAACUCUCCAGAUUUUUGGACGACGAUCCCGAAAUUAAUUGCCACUCAUUGCUAGUCUUAGGGAUUUUGAUAUAGCUUUUUUCUGCUGCUUGAUUUGAAUGAAGACCUCUGCACUCCACUGGAGAGGAAAUAAAAUGCACUAAAAUAACUUCUCUCUAUGUAGCUUCAGAGGAAUUUAUAGCACAUUGAGUCAACCACCUCAUCGCCUUCCUAUCUCAGAGACCCACUAAACACGUUUUUCUGUGUAGCGCAAUAUAAAGAGUUUAAUUCACCUCUUCAUAUCUGAAACUCAUUAUCAUAACUAUGUUUGAAACAUUUCAAAAGCAUUUUGUCAUUGAUUUUGUUCCCCCUCUUUCUCUCUUUCUUUUUCCUAUUUCGUUAUAUGGCAUGUGCAAUAAAAUAAUUAGUAUCCUGUAGUCCGGCAAUGGAGACAAAGUCCUCCUCUAUGUGUGGAAUAAGGCAGGGGGUGUAGGGGGAUGAGUCAUCCACAGGAGCGAGGUAUGGAAAUAAGGAAUCUGGAGACUGUGGCCUCUCGCUGAGAUGAAAACAUGAGACUUCUGAGCAUUAGACACGAUCCUGCAGAACAAAGACAGCCAAAGUGAUUACUGUAACGACGUGUCGAUACGC